AUUUAAAUAGUUUAAUAAAAAUUUUGAUUUGUGGAGUCAAGGAUGUAAUAAUACUUUAAAUA
rnacentral:tRNA from 1 species